AUGGACGGAAGUCUGACCGAGCAACGCCGCGUGAGUGAAGAAGGUUUUCGGAUCGUAAAGCUCUGUUGUAAGAGAAGAACGAGUGUGAGAGUGGAAAGUUCACACUGUGACGGUAUCUUACCAGAAAGGGACGGCUAACUACGUGCCAGCAGCCGCGGUAAUACGUAGGUCCCGAGCGUUGUCCGGAUUUAUUGGGCGUAAAGCGAGCGCAGGCGGUUAGAUAAGUCUGAAGUUAAAGGCUGUGGCUUAACCAUAGUACGCUUUGGAAACUGUUUAACUUGAGUGCAAGAGGGGAGAGUGGAAUUCCAUGUGUAGCGGUGAAAUGCGUAGAUAUAUGGAGGAACACCGGUGGCGAAAGCGGCUCUCUGGCUUGUAACUGACGCUGAGGCUCGAAAGCGUGGGGAGCAAACAGGAUUAGAUACCCUGGUAGUCCACGCCGUAAACGAUGAGUGCUAGGUGUUAGACCCUUUCCGGGGUUUAGUGCCGCAGCUAACGCAUUAAGCACUCCGCCUGGG
rnacentral:rRNA from 1 species